rnacentral:rRNA from 1 species
UACACUCCUGCGGGAGGCAGCAGUGGGGAAUUUUGGACAAUGGGCGAAAGCCUGAUCCAGCAAUGCCGCGUGAGUGAAGAAGGCCUUCGGGUUGUAAAGCUCUUUUGUCAGGGAAGAAACGGUGAGAGCUAAUAUCUUUUGCUAAUGACGGUACCUGAAGAAUAAGCACCGGCUAACUACGUGCCAGCAGCCGCGGUAAUACGUAGGGUGCAAGCGUUAAUCGGAAUUACUGGGCGUAAAGCGUGCGCAGGCGGUUUUGUAAGUCUGAUGUGAAAUCCCCGGGCUCAACCUGGGAAUUGCAUUGGAGACGGCAAGGCUAGAAUCUGGCAGAGGGGGGUAGAAUUCCACGUGUAGCAGUGAAAUGCGUAGAUAUGUGGAGGAACACCGAUGGCGAAGGCAGCCCCCUGGGUCAAGAUUGACGCUCAUGCACGAAAGCGUGGGGAGCAAACAGGAUUAGAAACCCCUGUAGUCCCAU